rfam:Candidatus Roizmanbacteria bacterium RIFCSPLOWO2_01_FTLL_42_14 rifcsplowo2_01_scaffold_3877, whole genome shotgun sequence.
UGCCCGGUAGUUCAACGGCAGAACCCACGGCUCUGAACCGUGUAAUCGGGGUUCGAAUCCCUGCUGGGCAG